UGACCUCAGGCUAGACGUGGCAACCUGCUGAAUUUAAGCAUAUUAGUCAGUGGAGAAAAUGGAACUAGCCAGGAUGCCCUUAGUAAAGGUAAGUGAACAGGCAUCCCAGUGCCAAAUCCCUGCCCCUUGGUGGGGUGAGGGAAAUGUGGCGCAUGGAAGACUCACUCACCAGUGCCACUUGUUGGGGCCCAAGCCCUGAUUGAGGCAGCCAGCCUGUGGAAGGUGUGAGGCCAUUAGCAUCCCCUGGCUGCCAGGCCUGGGUCUUCGCAGCGCCGGGUUGCUGGUAAUGUAACCUCAAGCUGGUGGCAAACUCUAUCUAAGGUUAAAUACAGCAGGAGACCGCAAUAGUCAACAAGUACUGUAAGGGAAAGUUGAAAAGAACUUUGAAGAGAGAGUUCAAGAGGGCGUGAAACCGUUAACACUUACAUGGGUGGGGUCCCUGCAGUCUGAUGGAGGAUGCAAACCGGUGGUGGGUCAGGCUGUGCUAGUGAUCUGGCGGAUCUUUCCUGCCUUCAGUUCCUCCUGACCCCUCCAAUUGCCCUCCCUCCCCAGUAACCCCGCCUCCUCCUUGGAGGUGGCAGGCCCCAGCGUGUGCAGGGGUGGGCCCGGGGGGGAGGGGGGAGAAGAGGGGACUGUCCCCCAGCCGGGGAAUGGCCGCCACUGGGUGCAUUUCCACUGUGAUGCUGUGCCUUGACUGUCUCUGGGACGAUGGGAAGGCCCGACAGUGAAGGUGGCUUAGGGGUCCCUGUCCUCCCUGUCCCUCACAAGGGGUGUGGGGUGAUCCUCCCCCUGAGUGUUUCACCCCCCAGCAGUAGCACUCGUCGAAUCCCGGGGCUGAAGGAGUGAGACUCGUUGCCGUGCUCUCUGCCUCCUGGAGCCCACCCCAGUGGGGCCCCCCUAUGAGGGGGUCGCCCGUAGGGGCAUACCAGCAUGCCUCUAGGGGACUGGGCCACCUCUCCCACGGUGUAACUACUCUCCCACCCCCUCCCUGCCCCAGGGAGUAGGCCGCAUGGGAGGGUCUGGGGCUCACUGUGAUGUGCUCCAGGCGGGUUGUGCUGUCGGACCUGGGGGGUCUCUUCGGCCAGGAACUCAUUUCAAAAGAACAGUGGAACCAGUGCACAAGGUAGGUGGUGCUGUCGGUUUCCCACAAGACCCAUCUUGAAACAUGAUCCAAGGGGUCUAACAUGUGUGCGAGUCAGGGACUCUCAUGAAAGCCAUUGUGGGGCAAUGAAGGUGAAGGCUGAUCCGCUCGCUGGCUGAGGUGGGAUUCUGAGGCUUCUCCAGUUUGCCAAGGGUGCACCACCUUCCGCUUUCACCCAUUGCGCUGGGCUGGGCAGGUGGAGCAUGAAUGCAUGUGUUAGGCACCAAAAGAUGAUAAACUAUGCCUGGGCAGGGCGAAGCCAGAGGAAACUCUUGUGGGGGUCUGUAGUGGUCCUGACCUGCAAGUCGGUCGUCUGAUCUGGGUAUAAGGGCAAAAGACUAAUGGAACUAUCUAGUAGCUGAUUCCCUCUGAAGGUUUCCUAGGGAUAGCUGGUGCUCUCGCACCCCAUGCCACGCAGUUAUUUGGUAAAGCGAAUGAUUAGGGGUCUUGGAGUUGAAAUGAUCUCAACCAAUUCUCAAACUUUAAAUGGGUUAGAAGACCAGCUCGAUGGCGUGGAGCCAGGUAUGGAAUGUGAGUGCCUAGUGGGCAACUUUUGGUAAGCAGAACUGGUGCUGUGGGAUGAAUGAAAUGCCAUGUUAAGGUGCCUGAUUCUGAUGUCCAUUAGACCCCAGAAAAUGUGUUGGUUGAUAUAGACAGCAGGAGAGUGGGCAUGGAAGUCAGAAUCCACUAAGGAGUGUUUAACAACAACAAAUCAACUAGCCCUGAAAAAUGGAUGGUACUGAAACACUGGGCCCAUACCCGGCUGUUGCCAGCAGUUGAGAGUGGAUGGGAGUGGUGAGGGUGGUCGCCCCCACUGGAGCCCUGUGGAUGCUGGGAGGGCUGCUGCGGUGAGCCUUGAAGCCUUGGACGUGAGCCUGGGUGGAGCUGCUCCAGAUUCAGAUCUUGGUGGUAGUAGCAAAUAUUAAAAUGAGAACUUUGAAGGCCGAAGUAGAGAAGGGUUCCAGUUGAAUGUGGGUCACUUGCUCCUGAGAGAUGGGGAAGUACCAUUCUGAAGGGAUGGAUGAUGACUUCCAUUGCCCCCAGCUGAUGGCAAGGGAGUCAAGUUCAGAUUUCUGAAUCCGGAGUGACAGAGAUGGGCACCAUGAGGCAUUCAGGGAGGUAAUGGAACUGAUUCUGGAGAAGCUGGUGGGAGCCCAGGGGAGAGCUCUUUUCUUUGUGAAGAGCAGGGUGCCCUGUAAUGGAUUCACCCUUAGACAGGGGCCUGUGCCUUGGAAAGAAUCACAGUUCAAGUGGCAUCUGGUGAGCUCUCACAGGCCCUUGAAAAUCUGGGGGAGAGGGUGUAAAUCUCGCGCCGGGCCGUACCCAUAUCCGCAGCAGGUCUCCAAGGUGAACAGCCUCUGGCAUGUUAGAACAACAUAGGUAAGGGAAAUCAGCAAGCUGGAUCAGUAAGCUUAGGGAUAAGAAUUUGCUCUAAGGGCUUUGCCAGUCUGGCUGCCACUUGAAACAGGGCUGGGUGCAGGCCGUGGCUGGAUGAAGUGCUGGUACUCCACCCCCCAAUGCUAGCAGCACCCCUCUGCAGACAUCCCCCACCCCACCUCGCUAUACCUUCCUCUUCACUAUCCCUCCCCACCUUGCUAUUGCCGGUUCCUAGCAGCCCACUUAGAACUGAUGCAGACCAAGGGGAAUCUGACUAUUUAAAACAAAGCAUGGUGAAGGCCUGCGGUGGGUGUUGACACGAUGUCGAUUCUACCCAGUGCUCUGAAUGUCAAAGUGAAGAAAUUCAAUGAAGCACGAGUAAAUGGCAGGAGUAACUAUGUCUCUCUUAAGUGUAGCCAAAUGCCUCAUCAUUUAAUUAGUGAUGCAUAUGAAUGGAUGGACAAGAUUCCCACUGUUCUUACCUGCUAUCCAGCGAAACCACAGCCAAAGGAAUGGGCUUGACAGAAUCAGCAGGGAACGGAGACCCUAUUGAGACUGACUCUAGUCUGGCACGGUGAAGAGACAUGAAAGGUGUAGAAUAAGUGAAAGGCCCCUGCACCCCUCUGUUUCUCUGAGGAGAUGGGGUGAGGUCCACUCACCUUAUGGGCUGCUGGUGAAAUCCCACUACCCUGAUCAUUUUUUCACUGACCUGGUGAAGUUGGGGCUGGGUAGGUGAACCACAAGGGGCUCACACUUUUGGCACCAAGCACCUGGCCACAUGCUGGCUGGAUGUUAACUGCUCCAGGAAUAGUGCCAGGUGCAGAGUUGGACUGGUACUGUACACCUGUCAAACGGUAAUGCAGGGGUCUGAAGGUGAGUGCGGGGAGUACCAAAACCUCCUGUGGAGCAGAAUGGCAGAAGUUGCUUGAUCUUGAUUUUCAGUAUGAAAGCAGGGCCUCAUGAUCCUUUUGAUGUUUUGUUUGGGUUUUAAGCAGGAUGUGUCAGAGAAGAUACCACAGGGAUAACUGCCUUGUAGUGGCCAAGAGUUCAUAGCGACAUUGCUUUAUCAUCCUUUGGUGUUCGAUCUUCCUAUUGUGAAGCAGAAUUCACCAAGCAUUGGAUGGUUCACCCAGUAACAGGGAACCUGAGCUCAGUUUAGGACAUCGUGAGACAGGUUAGUUUUACACAACAGUCUUUUAAACAAGGGUCUUCCCAUCUCGGCCUCACGAGUACCUGGGACUACUGGGACCUUAUUCUUCUGUAUUUUUUCUAACCACAAUUUCAGUUUGUUUCCACAGUACUUAGAGUAACUUGCUGUGAUUUUUCAUUGUUCUUUUCUCUCUCCAUUCUCAUAUGCUCCUUCCUACACACUGAAGUUGACCUUUGGUUUAUUUUUUGUCACAGUUCACACUGGUUAUGACACACACACACACACAAAGUGAGAGAGAGAGAGAGGAGAGAGAGAGAGAGGUAGGGGUUUUCAAUUGUGAUAUUAAAUAUCUUUUAUUAUUGUUAACUUAUGCUUAAUUAUUUCAUCUUUAA
rfam:Chlorocebus sabaeus isolate 1994-021 chromosome 6, whole genome shotgun sequence.